UACGUAGGUGGCAAGCGUUGUCCGGAAUCACUGGGCGUAAAGCGCGCGCAGGCGGCAAUCUACGUCUGGGGUGAAAGCCCGGAGCUCAACUCCGGGACUGCCUUGGAUACGGGAUCGCUUGAGGAUUGGAGAGGCAAGGGGAAUUCCACGUGUAGCGGUGAAAUGCGUAGAGAUGUGGAGGAACACCUGUGGCGAAGGCGCCUUGCUGGCCAAUUACUGACGCUGAGGCGCGAAAGCGUGGGGAGCAAACAGG
rnacentral:rRNA from 1 species